CAGCCGCCGCGGUAAUACCGGCGGCCCGAGUGGCGGUCACUAUUAUUGGGCUUAAAGCGUCCGUAGCCGGGUUGGGAAGUCCUCCGGGAAAUCUGGCCGCUUAACGGUCAGAAUGCCGGAGGAUACUCCCAGCCUAGGGAGCGGGAGAGGCCGAGGGGAUUCCCGGAGGAGGGGGGGAAUCCUAUAAUCCCGGGAGGACAACCUGUGGCGAAGGCGCUCGGCUGGAACGCGUCCGACGGUGAGGGACGAAGGCCAGGGGAGCAAACCGGAUUAGAUACCCGGGUAGUCCUGGCGGUAAACGAUGCGGACUUUGUGUCGGACAAGCUAUGAGCUUGUCCGGUGCCGGAGGGAAACCGUUAAGUCCGCCGCCUGGGGAGUACGGCCGCAAGGCUGAAACUUAAAGGAAUUGGCGGG
rnacentral:rRNA from 1 species